rnacentral:rRNA from 1 species
AUUGCAGUCUGCAACUCGACUGCAUGAAGUCGGAAUCGCUAGUAAUCNCGGAUCAGCAUGCCGCGGUGAAUACGUUCCCGGGCCUUGUACACACCGCCCGUCACACCAUGAGAGUCGGGAACACCCGAAGUCCGUAGCCUAACCGCAAGGGGGCGCGGCCGAAGGUGGGUUCGAUAAUUGGGGUGAAGUCGUAACAAGGUACC